UAUUAAAAACUGCAUAUAUUUCUAUUGUUAAAAAUUAGUGCGACUACAUGUGGUGUGUUAUGUAUACCUCAUUUUGAUGUACAAGGAUUAAAUUUUAACAAUAAUAAUGGAUGAAAUUUUCAACA
rfam:Gossypium raimondii Chr12_contig_802, whole genome shotgun sequence.